rfam:Triticum aestivum genome assembly, contig: Triticum_aestivum_CS42_TGACv1_scaffold_129644_2BL
CCAGUACUCCCUCCGUUCGGAAUUACUUGUCUUAAAAAUAAAUGUAUAUAAAACUAAAAUACAUCUAGAUACAUCCAUUACUACGAUAAGUAAUUCCGAACGAAGGAAGUAUAUA